ACCUGCGGAAGGAUCAUUGUCGUGACCCUGACCAAAACAAACCGUGAACCUGUCACCUAUGCUGCCGGUUGAUGGGCUUGCACCUAUCUCUCGGUCUAGGCCACCGACCUUCUUCAGAAGGGCGGGGUGCCAAAAGAACCCACGGCGCCGUAUGGCGUCAAGGAGAACUAAUGUUGCCUUGCUUGGGGCCUCGGCCGGCUUGCCGGAUGCACCCCUUGCAGCGAUGCUAUGGAAAAUCACAUGACUCUCGGCAACGGAUAUCUCGGCUCUUGCAUCGAUGAAGAACGUAGCAAAAUGCGAUACCUGGUGUGAAUUGCAGAAUCCCGUGAACCAUCGAGUUUUUGAACGCAAGUUGCGCCCGAGGCCUUGUGGCCGAGGGCACGUCUGCCUGGGCGUCACGCCAAAAGACACUCCACCGCAAUCCCGGUCUGGACGUGGUGUUUGGCCCCUCAUUCCAUAGUGUAUGGUGGGCCAAAGAGGCGGCUGCCGGCGGUGCCGGUCACAGCAGAUGGUGGAUGGCACAAGUUAUUCUCGGUGUUGUGAUCCUGACAACUCCCGGUCAUGUUAUGCCCCUUUUGGACCCAUGGUUUGGAGCGUACGUAGCUCGGACCGCGACCCCAGGUCAGUCGGGACUACCCGCUGAAUUUAAGCAUAUCAAUAGGCGG
rnacentral:rRNA from 1 species